rnacentral:rRNA from 1 species
UACAGGGGUCUCAAGCGUUGUUCGGAUUCAUUGGGCGUAAAGGGUGCGUAGGCGGCGCGGUAAGUCGGGUGUGAAAUCUUGGAGCUUAACUCCGAAACUGCAUUCGAUACUGCCGUGCUUGAGGACUGGAGAGGAGACUGGAAUUUACGGUGUAGCGGUGAAAUGCGUAGAUAUCGUAAGGAAGACCAGUGGCGAAGGCGGGUCUCUGGACAGUUCCUGACGCUGAGGCACGAAGGCCAGGGGAGCAAACGGG